UUAAGUGACUAAGCGUACAAGGUGGAUGCCUUGGCAAUCAGAGGCGAAGAAGGACGUGCUAAUCUGCGAAAAGCUUGGAUGAGUCGAUAAGAGGCGUUUAAUCCAAGAUAUCCGAAUGGGGAAACCCAGUAGAUGAAGAAUCUACUAUCACUUACUGAAUCCAUAGGUAAGUGAGGCAAACCGGGAGAACUGAAACAUCUAAGUACCCCGAGGAAAAGAAAUCAACCGAGAUUUCGUUAGUAGCGGCGAGCGAAAGCGAAAGAGCCUGUUAAUGAUAGCAGCAGAGAUAGAGGAAUAAGCUGGGAAGCUUAGCGACACAGGGUGAUAGCCCCGUACUCGACAUCCAGGCUGUGGUACUAAGUUAACGAGAAGUAGGGCGGGACACGUGAUAUCCUGUUUGAAGAUGGGGGGACCAUCCUCCAAGGCUAAAUACUCCUGAUUGACCGAUAGUGAACCAGUACUGUGAAGGAAAGGCGAAAAGAACCCCGGUGAGGGGAGUGAAAUAGAACCUGAAACCUUGUACGUACAAGCAGUGGGAGCCUGAAAGGGUGACUGCGUACCUUUUGUAUAAUGGGUCAGCGACUUAUAUUUUGUAGCGAGGUUAACCGAAUAGGGGAGCCGAAGGGAAACCGAGUCUUAACUGGGCGAAUAGUUGCAAGGUAUAGACCCGAAACCCGGUGAUCUAGCCAUGGGCAGGUUGAAGGUUGGGUAACACUAACUGGAGGACCGAACCGACUAAUGUUGAAAAAUUAGCGGAUGACUUGUGGCUGGGGGUGAAAGGCCAAUCAAACCGGGAGAUAGCUGGUUCUCCCCGAAAUCUAUUUAGGUAGAGCCUUGAGCGGACACCUUUGGGGGUAGAGCACUGUUUCGGCUAGGGGUCCAUCCCGGAUUACCAACCCGAUGCAAACUACGAAUACCAAAGAGUGAUACUCAGGAGACACACGGCGGGUGCUAACGUCCGUCGUGGAGAGGGAAACAACCCAGACCGCCAGCUAAGGUCCCAAAGUCUAUAUUAAGUGGGAAACGAAGUGGGAAGGCUUAGACAGCUAGGAUGUUGGCUUAGAAGCAGCCAUCAUUUAAAGAAAGCGUAAUAGCUCACUAGUCGAGUCGGCCUGCGCGGAAGAUGUAACGGGGCUGAAAUAUAGCACCGAAGCUGCGGCAUCAGACGUAAGUCUGUUGGGUAGGGGAGCGUUGUGUAAGCGGAAGAAGGUGUGUUGAGAAGCAUGCUGGACGUAUCACAAGUGCGAAUGCUGACAUAAGUAACGAUAAAACGGGUGAAAAACCCGUUCGCCGGAAGACCAAGGGUUCCUGUCCAACGUUAAUCGGGGCAGGGUGAGUCGGCCCCUAAGGCGAGGCUGAAGAGCGUAGUCGAUGGGAAACAGGUUAAUAUUCCUGUACUUGGUAAAGCUGCGAUGUGGGGACGGAGUAGGUUAGGUUAUCGCACUGUUGGAUAUGUGCGUUUAAGUUGGUAGGUGGGAAGUUUAGGCAAAUCCGGACUUCCUUAACACUGAGAGAUGAUGACGAGGCUCUACGGAGCUGAAGUAACCGAUACCACACUUCCAGGAAAAGCCACUAAGCGAAAGGCUUUACUAAACCGUACUGAAAACCGACACAGGUGGUCAGGUAGAGAAUACUCAGGCGCUUGAGAGAACUCGGGUGAAGGAACUAGGCAAAAUAGCACCGUAACUUCGGGAGAAGGUGCGCCGGCGUAGAUUGUAAGGGCUAGCCCCUGAAGGUUGAACCGGUCGAAGAUACCAGCUGGCUGCAACUGUUUAUUAAAAACACAGCACUCUGCAAACACGAAAGUGGACGUAUAGGGUGUGAUGCCUGCCCGGUGCUGGAAGGUUAAUUGAUGGUGUAAUCGAAAGAGAAGCUCCUGAUCGAAGCCCCAGUAAACGGCGGCCGUAACUAUAACGGUCCUAAGGUAGCGAAAUUCCUUGUCGGGUAAGUUCCGACCUGCACGAAUGGC
rnacentral:rRNA from 1 species